CACGUAGGGCGCAAGCGUUGUCCGGAAUUAUUGGGCGUAAAGAGCUCGUAGGCGGCUCAUUGCGUCAACCGUGAAAACCAGCAGCUCAACUGUUGGCUUGCGGUUGAUACGGGUGGGCUGGAGUUCGGUAGGGGAGACUGGAAUUCCUGGUGUAGCGGUGAAAUGCGCAGAUAUCAGGAGGAACACCGAUGGCGAAGGCAGCUCGCUGGGACGGUACUGACGCUGAGGCGCGAAAGCGUGGGGAGCGAACAGG
rnacentral:rRNA from 1 species